rnacentral:ncRNA from 1 species
AAUUAAUAGGGGAGCUUAUUUAGUAGGCUGAGAGGAAGUCAUCAACUUCGACCCAUAUACCUGAUUUGGAUAAUGCCAACGUAGGAACGUAUAUAG